UGUGUGUGUGUGUGUGUGUGUGUGUGUGUGUGUGUGUGUGUGAUCUAUGUGUGAGCAUGCCCAUGCAUGUGUACGUAUGCAGAUAUGUUCAGCCAUUGGUGUAUGACAGAGGCCAGAGUUUGACAUCAAGCUGUCUUCCCCUUCUGCCUCUGGUUGUUUACCUUUUGUUUUUGUUUUUGAAACAAGCUUUUCUCACUAAACUUGGAACUCACUGUUUCCAUCAGAAUAACUGAUCAACAAGCCCCUAGCAUCUACCUGACUGUACCUCUGAGAAUUAGAGUGCCCAGGAUCCAAACGCAGGUCCUUGUGGUUACAUCAUAAGCAUUUUACCCACUAAGCCAUCUCCCUAGCCCCACCUUUUAUAUUAUUGUUUUAUCAAGACUGUAGUCAAUAUUACAAAUAAGUUAGUAUCUCAGUGAAGCCAGAUUUUUGUAUCCAAUUUGAAGAAGUAGAAGAGCAUGAGUCAUGGCACUGCAUUAUGUAAGCAAAGGUUUGAGACCAGCUUCCAACAUUUACUCUUGAUUUUUGGUCCAGAUUUAAUGUUUUUCUUUUUUUUUUUUUUGUUUUCCUGUCCAUAAAACUAAAAGAUGUUUGUCACACAAUGAUCUGAAUGUUACAUGAAUCCUACAUUGAAAUUAUCUUUAUCAACCACAGCAAAUACUCUCAAUUUUAAAAUCUAAUAGGAGCUUAGUUCUUAUUUGACUUUUUUUGCAAUAUUUGACUCUGCCAUUUCAUAAUUUUUUAAAGAGUUUUCUCCUUUGGUUUUGCGUCCUAUCCCUGGCUGUUAUUUUCAUUCUUCCUAGCUGCUAAUUGUCACUCUUUUCUCAUGGAUCCCACUACCCCUGAUGGUUUUUUGUAAGUUUUGUGAGUUUGUUGUUGACGUUUUGUUGUUUGUUUUUAUUGAUAUGAGUGUUUUGCACACAUCCAUGCCAAGUGCCCACAAAGGCCAGGAGAGGGAGACACAGCCUCCAGAGCUGGAGUUCCAGACAGGUGUGUGUAAUGAUAACUCUUUCCACCAGCCGCCUGAGCUCCGCUGCCACAUUGGGGCCCCCAAAUAACACAGAGACUGUUAUACAAUGCUACUAACUCUUAUAGUUACAAUGCUUCUGGCCAAUGACUAGGAUUUCUUAUUUCCUAGCUCCGUCUUAAGUAUCAACCAUAACCAUUAAUCUAUAUAUUUUAUGCAGACUUAUCUUAUAGAGGACACCAGCGGCAUGCAUCCUCUCUUCCCCAGGAUCACAUGGCGACUCCUCUCUUUCCUACAUUUCCCAGAAUUCUUCUCUCCUAGUCCCGCCUAACUUGCUUCCCUAAUUGGCCAACAGUGCUUUAUUUAUCAACCAAUAAGACAAACAUAUAUACAGAAGGACCUCCUCCAUCAGGUGUGAGCUGCCAUGUGAGUACUGGAAAAUAAACCUGGGUCCUCUGGAGGAACAGCCUGUGCUCUUAACAACUCAGCCAUCUCUCCAUCCACCUUGAUAUUAAUUAGGUGAAUUAUGUGAUUGUCUCCCUUAAGAUUGCUUUUUAAUUUUUUAAUCAAUUCUCUUCCUUCCUCAUGGCUCCAAUCAUACAUACAUACAUACAUACAUGCACAUAUAUAGAUAUAUAGAUACAAAUAUAUUGAUAGCUGAUAUUGUCUGAUUUCCAAACGUUUGUCCCAUGCCUCUAGGCUGCAUUAUUGCUCUGCCCCACUGGACAACUUCACUUCAUUGUCCUGCCAUCAACGUUUCACCCUCAUUAAGCUAAGAUGUACCUCUAAAAUAUCCCAGACUCCUGCUUGGUUACUCUGCUCAUACAUACCAUCCGUUGAAUAUGCCUUUCAAUACCAUACCCAUUCUUUUUAUUUGCCCCAGUGCUUUAGUUAAAGUCUUAUGUGUGGUUUGAUGGAAUACCUCCUGUGCUAUUUAGAAAACUGUGUGUGUUAUAUAGAAGAAGAGGAGGAUGAAGAAGACGGUUUCCAACAAUGAUCACUAAUCCACAAUUUGGAAAUCCUUAUGAAGUCGUCCACCCUAAGAAGUAGAGCAAAAGAUCCCUCAGCAAAACUGACUGGUGACAUACCUGCAAUAUCAUUAUCCUCGAGGUUCUCUAAGAACACCACCCCCAUCAGCUGUAACAAAAAAAGGUCAACAGCCCACCAAAAUUGAAGUCAAUCAGUUGCACACCACAAAAAUGGACAGAAGUAUAAUUCACAAGCGGGUGAGACGGUUCAGUAGGUAAAGAAACAUCGGAGAAGCUACCCUAUGAAGACUCAUUAACAUGACUGCCUAGACAUGACCUGAACAAGGACAACACCAACAGGUGUGCUAACAAGGAAGGCAGUAAGCUUAUGAAGCCUCCACCCCAGAUAAAGAACUACAGGUAACAAAGAAAUGCUGAGAGCAAGAGAAAUAACUUUGCCAGGGAAGAGCAUCCCCAGCUGGUUAUGCAGGACUAAGAGGUCAGCCCUGGAACUAUAUACAUACAAGUAACAUUAUAAAGACUGAACAAGUUGUAUGUAUGUAUUUAUAAAUAUGUGUAACAAGGAAAUAGACAACAUGAAUUUGAGAGACAGCAAGGCAGAGUACAUGAGCAGGGUUGGAGGGAGUUCUGAAAAUGGAGAAAGUGCUGUAAUUAUAAUCUACUUUCAAAAAUUAAAAAACAAAUAUUUGUACUUAUAUAUGAAAGUGUACAUUGUAUAAAAUUUAAAACAGAGAAUAAAUAAGUAAAAAAUAAAUGACAUUAUAGGAAUGUCAUUUCUUCUCAAAUGGUUGCACACUGGAUAUUGUUUCAUAAAUGUGUCAAACACACCAUUUAAAAACAAUACAACCCAUUGAUUCAAAAGCUGAACUUUAAAUCCCUGAACACAGUUGGGUCUGAGGCUUAACAUCCUGACUCAGCAUUUAUGGUUUUCAUUCACAGCACAUCAGCUAAGGUGAUGUUCCUUCUUAAUAUUUUUGUUUUUAGUUUUCUUCCACCUGCUCUUAUACAAUGUAAAUUAUUCAAAGUAAAAUUUAGAAUGCUUUGCCUGGUUCUUUACAAUAUUCACAAUAAUUUUUUUUUGUUCAUUGUUGAUAGCAUAGCACAGACAGAACAAACCUAAACAGAACUGACUUGUAAAACAUUAAUGUUGUUUUUCAAGGGACAUGUGUCUUUUUCCUUGAGUCUUUCUAUGGUACUAUCAUGUAGAGUUCUAUAUUUUUCUUUAUCAAGUUUAUGACUAUUUCUAAAGACUACUUCUAAGUUUAGAUUAUUUUUUAAUUUAUUUUUUGCAUUUCAAUCCCAGUCCCCCUCCCUCCUCUCCUCCAGCUCCCCUCACCCCCCCCACCUCCCAUCUGUUCCUCAGAGAGGGUAAGGCCUCCGCUAAGAAAUCUACUAAGUCUGUCCCAUCAUCUUGUUGAGGCAGGACCAAGGCAUCUCUCCACCCCCACAUCCCUGUGUCUAGGCUGGGCAAGGUAUCUCUCCAUAUAGAAUGGGCUCCACUGAGUCAGUUUGCACUAAUGUUACAUCUUAGACCCACUGCCAGUGGCCUCAAAUAUUGUCCCAGUCCCAUCACUGUCACCUAUAUUAAGGGAGUCUAGUUCUGACUUAUGCAGGUUCCCCAUUUGUCAGACCUGAGUCAGUGAUCUCUCACUAGCUCGGGUCAGCUGAUUCUGUGGGUUUCCCCACAUGGUCUUGACUCCUUUGUUCUUAUUACAGCUCCUCCCUCAGUUUGAUUGUACUCCAGGAGCUUGGCUCAUUGGACAUAAGUUUAGAUUCCUUUAGUGAUAUAAAGAAAUAAUUUCCCUCUAACUUUACCAUGUGGUAGAUAGCAUGGAGGAUCAGAAUGUUACUGAUGAUAUUAUUUUAUAAUAUAGCCCCAUCUAAUCUUUGUAAUCAUCUACCUUAAUGAAUAUUUUUUAAAAACUUUGUGUAUCAUGUCUUCAAUAUUUUCAAAGAUUGGUUGGCUUUAAAUAGCCUAGGAAACAUCUGGGCCAUCACUGUAAUUUAUUAGAUUUAAGAUAUGAUGGUUGGCUUAAAAUACACAUAAAAACAUACUCUGCCACAAAUAUAUGAAAAGAGAACCCCCCCACCGUCCCAGAUUAGGUCACAUUUCAACUGGAUUUUAUUUUUUGUCUUAUGUGUUUUGCCUGCAUAUAUGAAUGUGCACCACUUGCAUGCCUGGUACCCUCAAAAGUCAAAGGGGAUCUUGAAUUCUUUGGAUCGGAGUUAUGAAGGGUUGAACCACCAUGUCAGUUCUGGGAACCAAACCAAGGUGCUUGGCGAGAACAACAGGUACUCUUAACCACCGAGUCAUUGCUUCAGCUCUUCUGCUCACUUGAAGCAACAACCAAAGCAAGGAUUUCAGUAGAUUCACAAAGCAACCACUGUCUUCGGAGCUCUUCUACUACUGCCUACCUCCCCCCACUCACAGCCUUCAGAGCUCUUCUACUGCUGUCUACCUCCCCUAAAAGCACACAGUUACCCUAGAAGAGGUUCUCAGCAGCCACUCUUUUCAAGUGAGUCUCAAAUAUCAAAUACUGCAGUUCAAAUCUCAGAAAAAGAAAAGCAUAUCCUGUGAUACUUCUGCCCCACUUUCUCCUACUGGGUUUGCAAUGUAUGAUUAACAAUGCACAUAAACUUGGUUGAAGGAGUCUGUGUUUAGAUAAUAAUUCAAAUCCAUUAAAUAUCUCCUUAUGCUUGAUGUUCCAUCAGUGAAACAUCCAGAGGGUUCCUUUUAUAGAAAUAUGAUUUGAUCUGCAAUGUCCUGGAACAUGUUUUUCCAGCUAUUUGACUUGCAGCUUAUGCUAAUUACCAGGCAUUAUAUCAUGAAUUCUGUGGCACACAGAAACAUUUAAACCUAUCUGCCCCUACAAAAGUUAUUGAGGAUGAAUCACAGGAAUUUCUGUAGUAUUCUCUGCAGAUACUAACUAAAUGUUUGUUUUCUUUUUAACUCUUUGCUGUACUGAAUCCCAUUUUCCUUAUGACUUAUUGCUCCCACAUUACCUACAAUUCUGAAACCUUACACUAUUUAUAGCAUCCCAAUAUGACAUAUAAUACCUUGCAAACAGCAAAGAGAAAGUAGCAUUUUGAGUUCUGCAUACUAUCCUAGAUUAAUUGUUUUAAAU
rnacentral:lncRNA from 1 species